UUAUUGGCCAAAUUGACACUGAACCUAAGAUCUCAUCCCAGUGUCUUUCCCACUACCCCACCCUGCUCCCACCUCGUGAAUACUUGCAAAGAGGGGUUGUACUAACCAGAAACUAAUUUAAUAAAGUGAAUGAGUGUUUGUCCUAAGGAAAAAUUUAAUAAUGGGCUUAUCUUGAAAUGGAGAUCUAUGCCUUCUGAUCUGAUGCACUUAGGAAGCACGCAUCACCUGCCAAAUGCCAAGAAUGUUUAACCCGAAUCUCAUCAUGAGAAAACAAUAAGACAAUUGUAGGACCUUCAUCAAAAUAAAAGCUCUAGAUUCUGCAAAAAGGCAGUAUCAUAAAAGUGGUAGAGCAGUUCUGGAAAAAAAAAGAUGUGAUACCUAAAUUUUGUGUGUGAUUAUUGUUCAGAUUCUAGAUCGUAAAAGCUACUAAAUAAGCAAUUGGGAAAUUUGACUGUAUAGUAGGCUGCAUUGGUGUACCAAGGUUAAGCAUCUGGAAUGUUCUAUCAUGCUCAUGUUGAAUGUCUUAGUUCUUAGGAGAUACUUGCUGAGGUUCUUAGAGCAAUGAUGUAUAGAAAUGGUGAGAGCACAUUUUCUUGGACUGUUCCAGAUCUUAAGAGGAAAGCAUUUGGUCUUUCCAUGUUUCAAUAUAAGGAAAAUUCCUGCUUCUUCUGAGACAUAUUACCUUAUUGACUCUUGUAAAUCUUGUAACUGAUUACAUUUAUUUAUUGGCUUUGACCGAAAGGAAUCUAGAGCUAAAUUUGUGGCUCACAUGUAGAAAUUGUCCAGGAUUCCAUGGGUAAUGCUGGCCCCAUGGAAUGAGUUGAGAUGUAUGCACUCUCGUAUUAUCUACAGGAGUUUGUGUAGGAUUGGUAUUCUUUCUUCCUUAAAUACAUUACAGAAUUCACCAGAGAAGUCAUGUGGAUCUCAAGUUUUCUUUAGGGUAUUUCUAAAACAAUGAAUUCAAUGUGCAGACCUGAAGUGAUGUCCUUUUUCUCAUUCCUGAUGUUGGUAAUUUAUUUCUUCUCUCUUUUAUUAAUCCUUAAAUAGUCUGGUUAGUGGUUUAUCUAUAUUACUAAUAUUCUUAUAGAAAUAGCUUUAGGUUUCAUUGAUUCCUUUCUAUUACUUUUGUUUUCUAUUUCACUGAUUUCUGCUAUUUUUGUGUUUCUUGGUUGUUUUGUGUGCAUGUGUUUGUUUUUAUCUUUUGCCCCCUUUUCCCAUUUCUCUCAUUGUCCCAACCCCUGCCAUUGGCAGCCACCAAUUGCCAAUCUGUUCUCUGUAUCUAUGAGCUUGUUUUUCUUGUUCCUUCCUUUAAGUUCAUCCAUGUUGUCAUAAAAGGUAAAAUUUCCUUCUUUUUUUAUGUGCUAAUGAUAUUCCAUUGUGUAUCUACAUACCACAAUUUUUUUAUCCACUUGUCAGUAGACAUUUAGGUUCUUUCCACAUCUUGUCUACUGUAAAUAGUGCUGCAAUGAACUUGAUGAUGCAUAUAUCUUUUCAAGUUAAUGUUUUUAUUUUCUUUGGAUAAAUACCCAGAAAUGGAAUUGCUUAAU